AAUAAGCGGAGGAAAAGAAACCAACAGGGAUUGCCCUAGUAACGGCGAGUGAAGCGGCAACAGCUCAAAUUUGAAAUCUGGCUUUCGGGUCCGAAUUGUAAUUUGCAGAGGAUGCUUUUGGCGAGGUGCCUUCCGAGUUCCCUGGAACGGGACGCCUUAGAGGGUGAGAGCCCCGUACGGUUGGACACUAAGCCUCUGUAAAGCUCCUUCGACGAGUCGAGUAGUUUGGGAAUGCUGCUCUAAAUGGGAGGUAAAUUUCUUCUAAAGCUAAAUACCGGCCAGAGACCGAUAGCGCACAAGUAGAGUGAUCGAAAGAUGAAAAGCACUUUGAAAAGAGGGUUAAAUAGCACGUGAAAUUGUUGAAAGGGAAGCGUUUACGGCCAGACCUUUUCCUAGCGGAUCAUCUGGUGUUCUCACCGGUGCACUUCGCUAGGUUUAGGCCAGCAUCGGCUUCUGUAGAGGGAUAAAAGCAGUGGGAAAGUAGCUCUCUCGGGAGUGUUAUAGCCCUAAGCAUAAUACCUUUACGGGGGCCGAGGACCGCGCUUUUGCAAGGAUGCUGGCGUAAUGGUCGUCAACGACCCGUCUUGAAACACGGACCAAGGAGUCGAACAUUUGUGCGAGUGUUUGGGUGUUAAACCCUCACGCGUAAUGAAAGUGAACGGAGGUGAGAGCCCUUUACGGGGUGCAUCAUCGACCGAUCCUGAUGUCUUCGGAUGGAUUUGAGUAGGAGCAUUAAUGUUCGGACCCGAAAGAUGGUGAACUAUGCGUGGAUAGGGUGAAGCCAGAGGAAACUCUGGUGGAGGCUCGCAGCGGUUCUGACGUGCAAAUCGAUCGUCAAAUCUGCGCAUGGGGGCGAAAGACUUAUCGAACCAUCUAG
rnacentral:rRNA from 1 species